rnacentral:lncRNA from 1 species
AACGUAAGAAACACAGAAAGAACAGCUUUACUUUUUCCACUUAUUUAGGAGAAUGUCAUAAAAUACUCAUGGAUGGACAUUUUAAUCUAAAUGUUAAUAUGUAUAUUAACUCACUUAAUGAUGUGGCAUGUUUUCCUUUAAAAUCACUGUUAUAGAGAACAGAAUCUUGGAAUUAUUUUCCUCAAGAAAUGGACUCUUCUCAAAGCUUGGAUAUAUCACAGACCAGAAUUAACAUUGGAGCGGAAGGGUCUGAAGUGAUAGAGUUCCCGUCUUUGGAGGAAGGUAUAUUGACCCAGUCAGAAGAACAUGUAAAGGAACGAAACAGAAAUCUCUUAUGUUCUCCAUUGCUAGGUAAUGCCUUUGUAUUUUUUAACUAAUAGUAAUAUCUCAUAUUUGUAAAGUAGUUUUUGGGGGACUGUUAGUCCUGUACAUAAGUAAAUCCUUUUUGAGUUGAGGAGCUUUAUAGAGUUCUACUCAAAGGGAUUCGUUUGUUUUUUGUUUUCUACACUGGCCAGCUGGUCUAGUUAUGGCAAAUGUGCAUUUACCCUUCAUUUUAUCAUGCCCCAGUGCUCAUAGAAAGCAGAAAGGUGCACUUCCUCUUUAGUGGGUAUGCCUCUUCAGUUCCUGAAUUGGUAGAGUUGUUCUUGGGUAAUGGAGAUAUUAUUCUUUGACUGGUUCUCUCAGCAGUGGAGACUACAUGUUUCCAAAACCAACCAACAAUUGUCUGUAUUUAUCUUGUUCAAUUCUGAGAAUUUUUUAAAACUUAGGUUAUUAUCUUCAGCUUUGAGACCAAAAACUGAGAUAAAGAGGUUAAAUGGCUUAACUCAGGUAGAUCUUACUACUUUCCUUUGUUUAGGUUUAGAACAGUUUUAUUAGUUUUAAAAAGAUAAAUUUUUAUGCACCUUUCACAUCAUCAAGGGAUUAACUGAAAUGAUUUUAUAGAAUUUUGUAGAGAAGUGUGAUAGGAUUUGAUUCAGCAAGUUCUUUUCAAACAUAAGCUUAUAUUAUCUAAAUCAAGAUGUUAGUGCUAAAGUAUUCUAUGAUGUAGAUCAUUAAAGUCAUUUAAGUCCACAUUUUAACAUGUUGACAAAAUUAGAGUACUGUUGUUGGAGAGGUGAAAAUCAUAGUAGAUGAAAGGGGUGGGGUAAGGGGAAAGGAUGGUCAAAUAUUUGAAAGGCUGCCAUGCUAAAGAGGAAGCAAUUCAUUUUUUCCCCACAUUUUUAAAAUUGGUGCAUUAUGGGUUAUAUAUGGUAAUUGGAUUUGUUGAUAUAUAUUCAUACACGCACACAAUAUAACAAUAUAAUUUAGCCAGUAUAACUCCCCAGCACUUCCCCUCUCCCUCCCUGGCAAUUCAUUUAUUAUUUUUUAUUCAUUUAUUUAUGUAACAAGUAUCUUAAGUGUCUACUUGUUUGAUUCUAUGGAUAGAUCGAUGAAAUCCACUUUUUCUGAGAAGAUAACCUAAUAACAAAACAGUAGUACCCUAGGAUGAGUGUUAUAAUGGUCUGUAGGGCAAGAAUCUAAAUGAAAACCCCCAGGUCAAGGCUUGAUUUUGUAGUAUUUGUGAGCUAAGAAUGGUUUUUACAUUUUUAUUUUUAUUUUCUUUCUUUCUUUUUUUGUUUCAGUGCUUGCUAUUGAACCUAAGGGCCUCACAGCUAUAUCUCUAGCCAUUUUUAUUUGUUUUUUUAAAAUAUUUUUUUUAGUUGUACACAGGCACAAUAUCUUUAUUUUAUUUAUUUGUUUUUAUGUGGUGCUGAGGAUCAAACCUAGAACCUCACAUGUGCUACCAACUGAGCUACAAACCCAUUUUUAUUUUUAAAGGAUUGUAAAAACAAAAUAUAAGUGAUAGUCCACUGUGACCAACAAAACCUAAAAUAUUUACUCUGUCUUUGCAAAAAAUGUUUGCAGACAUGUUUAUAGGAGUUAAAAUGAGAAUACAGCACUUAUAGGGGGCUUUUUUCAAUUUGAUAUAAGAAAGGAUUUUCUAAAAGAGGCUUAAUAACAACAACAAAAAGUGAGUUUUGUGUCACAGCAAAGUAUCAAGCAAAAUUCCGUAAUAAAUUUUAGUAUGGGUAAGAGACUAUACUGUGACUUCUAUAAUGUUUUAAAAUGUAAAAGUAGUAUAAUUCCAGUUUCUCACUUACUGGAGAUAAAAUAGAACAUUUAAAAUUAUUGAGUAGAUCCCUGGAUCUGAUGGUUAGAGUAUAUUCCAUUUUACUAUUUUGUUAUGCAUUAAUUCUGUCAUUGGGUAUUUAGUUUGUCACCUGUGGCGAAUAUCACUGAUGAUGACAGAAUGGUUAAAUAAAAGAGAAAUCAAGGCUGUCAACAGUUGUCUAAAUGUGAGGAAAUAAGCAGUUGAAAGGUGUAAGAAAAAGGCUUGGCCAUACCACUUAAGCACAUAUGUAUGCCAUGCAUGUGAGAUUUAUCACUUGUUAACUCUGGCCUGUUCCUUUAGAAAAUACAUUUUCCUAUUUACCUGGGUUAACUCUCCAACUCCAUCUUGGAAUAGUGUUAAAUAUUUAACAAUAUGCUGAAAUGCUGCUUAUAAUUUAUUUAUUACUUGCUCUUUCUUAGUUAUACUUAGGUAGUUAUUUAAGAUAAUAAGGAUUUCUAAAGGCUGAAUGUUGUGUCUGUAUGCAGAUGCUAACAUACAAUAAGGGGAAUGGGGAGGGAAGAAUAGAAGGUCAUUGGAUUAGAUAGAGGGGAAUGAAGGGAAAGGGGUGAUGGGAAUAAGAAAGACAAUAGAAUGAACUUGACAUAACUUUUCUAUAUUCAUAUAUGGAAUACAUGACCAGUGUAACUCCACAUCAAGUAUAACCACAAGAAUGCGAAAUUAUACUUCAUUUAUGUAUGUCAAAAUACACUCUUCUGUUAUCUAUAUGUAAAAAGAACAAAUUUAAAAAAAUUGGGAAAAAAUUUUGAUGGAUAUGAAUAAGCUAUAUUUAUGUAGCUAGAAGCCUUGCGUGCUCAGUGGUACUUGUAGUUCUUAAAAAUGCAUCUCAUAGGGCCUGGGUUGUGGCUCAGUAGUAGAAAGUUUGCCUAGCAUGUGUGAGGCACUGGGUUCGAUCCCCGGCACCACAUAAAAAUAAAUAAAAUAAAGGUAUUAUAUCCCAUCUACAACUAAAAAAAUUAAAAAAAUACAUCUCAUAAAAUAUAUAUUAUAUGAAAAGUAAAAAUAAAAGAUAAUAUGGAUUUCUGUAGGUUUGGAACCUGAUUAAGGAGAACUCUUAAUAUAUUUUUUAAAAAUAUUUAUCUUUUAGCUGUAGUUGGACACAAUAUCUUUAUUUUAUUUAUUCAUUUUUAUGUGGUGCUGAGGAUUGAACCCAGGGCCUCGCAUGUGCUAAGCAAGCGCUCUACCGCUGAGCCACAGUCCCAGCCCCAGGAACUCUUAAUAUUUUUUAGAAAAGAUUCUUAGAUUCUUUAAAUGCUCAGCAUUUAAUUGGACAAUACAUUUUUAUACUUGCCCAAGAUUCCCCCCUGUAGCAUUAACCCUAGUAUAUUUGGUGACUAUGUUAAAAAAUCUUCAUCAUUCUUCAAGGGGUAAAGGACAUCUAUUUUGAAAGUUUAAGACUGUUUUUCUAAGUCAAAGGCCAAAGGAAAAAAAAUCAGUUGUUCCUGAUGGUAACAUCAGUAUUUAUCAAUUUCUCAUUUUUAAUUAGUUAAUUCAGUAAAUAAAUACUUCUGUUUUGAAUAUCUACUAAGUGUACAGAUACUUAGCUUAACCGUUGAGGAUAUAUCUGUGAACAAAGCGGAGGUAGAGCUGACAAUUUUUAUGGAAAACAAACAGACCAAAAAUGAAAACAAGAGUGUGAGGAGUUAUGAUAGAUAAAGUGUGCAAGGGUAUGAGAGUAUACAGGCACAUCUAGCUACUUGGGAGGCUAAGGCAGAAGGAUUAUAAGUUUGAGGCUAUCCUGAGCCAUUUAGCCACAUCCUAUCUCAAAAUAAAAAAUAAAAAGGGAUGAGAUGUAGUUCAGUAGUAGAGUACCCCUGGGUUCAAUCCCUAGUACUGAAAUAAAUAAAUAAAUAAAUUGAUAGAAAAGUGUUAGAGUACAUGGGUAUGUAAAGUGAAGGGCUCUAUGAAACAUGGCAUGUCAGCUUUUUAAACUAUGACUAAAAUACCUGGUAAGAACAACUUUUAGAGGAAGAAGAGUUCUUUGGGGUCAUAGUUUCAGAGGUUCAGUGCAGGAUGGUCAGACUCUACUGCUAUGGGCCCAAGGUGAGUCAGAGCAUCAGGCAGAAGAGUGGUGAAAAAGUGCUUAGCUGAGUAGAGCAUAAAGGGUUAAACCACAAUGCAAAGAAAAGACCACCGACUCCAGUUGAAAUCAAAUUAAAGCAAGCUUGUAAUUCAGACCAUCUGGGGCUGUCUCUCCCAAAAAUUGUGGGAACAGAAGACAGCUCAGCAGCUCUAGGAGCACAGCUUUAUAGUCCAGAAAGUUACAAAAAAAGGGGGGGUGUCUUGAGAACUUACAGAUAACACAAUUUUGACAAGUAUAACCCAAAGGCUGGUUAAUGGUCUACUGGUUCAGCACUUAGGGAGUAAAUUAGAUCCCAACAUCGGAAUUUAUGAGGCGCCAUUAGAGCUUCAGAAAGGGUUGUUAUCUGGCUAGGGAAAGCCAGGCAUGGGUGAGUUUAAGGCACGGGCAGGCAUUCCAAGCAAGUUUAGAAAUUGCAGUAAUUUAUAGUAAAGCCGAAAUUAACUUUUCAUGCCUUUGUGGCAAGAUGGCCUCCAAUCUUAAGAGGGAAUUAGGCUGGGUUUAUCAAAAGGAGCCAGGAACAAAAUAUAUAAUCCCCAAGGGCAGGCCCCUAGUGACCUGACUAUAGUUACUACCUAGUAAUCUAUUUAAAUUAUUAAUCCAUCGAUGAGAUUACAGAUCUCAUAAUCUAACAUUUCACCUCUGAGCUUUUCUGCAUUGUCUGUCACAGUGAGCUUAGUGGGGGCCAUCUCAUAUCCAAAUCAUAACACUUGGUUUGCAGUAAUUUGAAGGUAAACAGUGGUGAGAGGGUGGAGACUGCCUUUUAUACAUAGUAUUGCAGGAAUUCUGGUUUUGUUGUUGUUGUUUGUUUGGUAGCAGGGAUUGAACCCAGAGGUGCUUAACCACUGAAUCACAUUCCCAGCCCUUUUUUUUAUGUUUUUAUUUUGAGAUGGGGUCUCACCUAAGAACUGGUGAUCUUCCUGCCUCAGCUUCCUGAGCCACUGGAAUUACAGGUGUGAGCCACUGCACCUAGCAAUAUUGCAGGCAUUCUGAAAUUAAGAAAUUAUACUGUGGCAAUCAAUAUUGCAUCAUAUUGAGAAAGCAAUUUAGCUUAGCAAAAUACCACUCAUCAAGAUAAUUUUAAAUAGAAUUUUGUUUUGGUAAUAAAGUUUUUUUUUUGUUUCCAUUGAUAUUUAAUUUGCAGGGGGGCAGAGGAUUGAACUCUGGGGCACUUGACCACUGAGCCACAUCCCCAACCCUAUUUUGUAUUUUAUUUAGAGAGAGGGUCUCACUAAGUUGCUUAAUGCCUUGCUUUUGCUGAGCCUGGUUUUGAAUUCGUGAUCUUCCUGCCUCAGCCUCCUGAGCCAUAGGUGUGCAUGACCACGCAUGGCUAAUUUUUUGUUUUGUAUUGUACAACUGUUAUAAAGAGUAAGAACUUAGUACCUAGUUUAUGCGUAUUGUAAAAUUAACUUUAUUUAUUUUGUAGCACUGGGAUUUGACCCAGGGCCUUGUGCAUGAAUGCUAGUCAAGUUUUCUACCACUGAGGUGCACUCCCAGUUCCUCGUUCAUAGGUGUUUAAGGGCAUUGUCAUGAAUAUGAUUGAAGUUGACAGGAAAUCACAAGAAUUUUUUCCUUUAAAGCAAUAGUUUUCAAACUUUUUAGGUAAUUGGCAUCCUUGACACAUUUUAAAAUUAUUGGUAGCUCCAACAAGCUUUUGUUUAUGUGGGUUAUUGAUAAUUUCCACGUUAGGGGACUUAAAAUAGAAAUUUAUGUUUUAAUUUAGUUUUUUAGUUACAGAUGAACACAAUACUUUUAUUUUUUUAUUUUUAUGUGGUACUCAGGAUCGUAUCCAGAGUCUCACAUGUUAGGCAAGUGCUCUACCAUUGAGCCAUAACUCCAAUCCUCUUAAAACAGAAAUUGAGAAAAUAUUUAAUGAUUCAUUUAAAAAUAGCAAGUAAAUAUUUAAAAUAGUAAAGCUGAAAAUUCCUCAUUGUAUAUUAACACAAAGUGCAGUUUUGUAGAAAAUUAUUAUUUUCCAAAGCAAAAAUAUUUGUGAGUAGCCUUAUUUUACUUAAGACAGCAAGAUACUCAUAACUACUUCUGCAUUCAAUCUGUUGCUGCAUCAUACAUGUCAUAGAAAAUGCCACUGUUCCCUUUUAAGAGAAUGAGAGUGAGUAAGGCAAAUUAUAUUUUAAUAUUACUUAAAAUAUAAUUUUGAAUCUAGGUAUCUUUUAAAAGUGUCUUAGGACCUAGGAGUUCCUUGGCCACACUUUGAUGUAAUGGAUAUGUCUUUAUAUUACUUAAAAUUGAAAGAAACACUCAAAAUAGUUAUGAAACAAAUAGUGUUGUACUGGCUAAAAGUUAGUAUGCUUAGGUUCAAAUAUCAUUGGCACUUAAGCUGUUUGAAUGUGAAUAGAUUUCUUAAUACUUUUUUUUUUUUCCCCCGAGGGUGGGUAACCAGGGGUUGAACUCGGGGUGCUUGACCACUGAGCCAUAUCCCUAGCCCUAUUUUGUAUUUUAUUUAGAGACAGAGCCUCACUGAGUUGCUUAGUGCCUUGCUUUUGCUGAGGCUGUCUUUGAACUCACUAUCCUCCUGCCUCAGCCUGCCAUACCGCUGGGAUUUCUUGCAUGCCCCACUGUGCCCAGCCAGAUUCCAUAAUACUUUUUAAGUUUGGAAAUUAUGUUUCUUCAUGUAUUAUGUAGAUAUAAUUGUACCUGUCCUGAGGAUUAAAUGAAAUAUCGUAUGUUAAGUGUCUGGAUCUUGCUAGGCCCAAUAAAUGGUAGCUGCUAUUAUCAUUUUUUUAUUCUAAUGAUUGUAGAAAUGUCCAGUUAGCAGUAUAUUUAAGUACUUUAUAAAGUAUUACAUGUGUAAGCUAAACAAUCCAUUUUUAUAUUGCUCAGCAUUUUUAUAUUUGAAAUUUUACAGUCAUACAGGAUAACUUUGCUUCUCCUGAUUUGCCUUUGCUGACAUGUUUGACACAAGACC